rnacentral:rRNA from 1 species
UACGAAGGGGGCUAGCGUUGUUCGGAUUUACUGGGCGUAAAGGGCGCGUAGGCGGACUGAUAAGUCAGGGGUGAAAUCCCAAGGCUCAACCUUGGAACUGCCUUUGAUACUGUUUGUCUUGAGUUCGAGAGAGGUAAGUGGAACUGCGAGUGUAGAGGUGAAAUUCGUAGAUAUUCGCAAGAACACCAGUGGCGAAGGCGGCUUACUGGCUCGAAACUGACGCUGAGGCGCGAAAGCGUGGGGAGCAAACAGG